rnacentral:rRNA from 1 species
CCUACGGGUGGCAGCAGUGAGGAAUAUUGGUCAAUGGACGCAAGUCUGAACCAGCCAAGUAGCGUGCAGGAUGACGGCCCUCCGGGUUGUAAACUGCUUUUAGUUGGGAAUAAAAGGUGGCUCGUGAGCCCCGUAUUGUAUGUACCAUCAGAAAAAGGACCGGCUAAUACCGUGCCAGCAGCCGCGGUAAUACGGAGGGUCCGGGCGUUAUCCGGAGUUAUUGGGUUUAAAGGGAGCGUAGGCCGGCUUUUAAGUCAUCGGUGAAGGUCCGCGGCUAAACCGUGGAAUUGCAGUUGAAACUGGAGGCUUGGAGUGCACACAGGGAUGCAGAAAUUCAGGGUGUAGCGGUGAAAUGCU